GCCUGGGUGGCUCAGUCGGUUAAGCGUCUGACUUCAGCUCAGGUCACGAUCUCGCGGUCCGUGAGUUCGAGCCCCGCGUCGGGCU
rfam:Felis catus isolate Cinnamon breed Abyssinian chromosome B1, whole genome shotgun sequence.